rnacentral:tRNA from 1 species
UAUUGAGAAGUAAAAACUUACAUUUAGUUUCGACCUAAAAAUUUGAUUGAAAUUCAAUCCUCACUUU